GAUGAACGCUGGCGGCGUGCCUAAUACAUGCAAGUCGAGCGAACAGACCAGUACCUUCCUCCUCUGACCUUAUCCUCGGACGGCUAACUAACACGUGGAUAACCUACCUAUUAGACUCGACUUACUUCUAGAAACCGGAGCUUAUACCGGAUAAUAUAUUGAACCGCAUGGUUCAAUAGUUAAAGACGGUUUUUCUUUCACUUAUUGAUGGUUCCGCGCCGCAUUAGCUAGUUGGUAAGGUAACGGCUUACCAAGGCAACGAUGCGUAGCGGACCUGAGAGGGAGAGCGGCGACACUGGAACUGAGACACGGACCAGACUCCUACGGGAGGCAGAAGUAGGGAAUGGUACGCAAUGGGAGAAAGCGUGACGGAGCAACGGCGAGGGAGUGAUGAAGGUCUUGGGAUCGGAAAAGUCUGUUAUUAGGGAAGAACAAAUGUGUAAGUAACUAUGAACGUGGUGACGGUAGCUAAAGAGAAAGCAACGGCUAACUACGUG
rnacentral:rRNA from 1 species